CGGCAGAGACCUCUCCCGCCAGCGCAUCAACAGCGCCAAGGAGACCCUGUUCCUGCUGUUGAAGAGUUUGCCCCUGGGCUGUUAUUUCAACAUCUACGGCUUUGGGUCUGAGUUCGAGUCCUUCUACCCGCAGAGCGUGGAAUAUACCCAGCAGACCAUGGCCGAGUCCCUGCAGCGCAUCCAGCUGCUCCAGGCUAACCUGGGGGGCACCAAAAUCU